rnacentral:lncRNA from 1 species
UCUGAAGUGGGACACAAUUGUGUGCCCUCGCUAGGGUAACCGGCACCGUCAGAUCUGGUAGGUUGCAUCAAAGCCGCAAAAAUAUAGAUUUUUUUUUGGGGUGCUAGGGUUAAUGGGAUCAGGCAAACGUGGGCAGGUUUUGUGAGGAGGAAGAAGAAAAGAAAAAGGCUGGUGGGGUUUGAGUAGUUCAGUAAUCUCUCAAGUCCAAUAUUCUUCUUGGGAUUUGUGGUAAAAAAGACUCUAAAUUCCUUCUAUAAAUACUGCCACUCCCACUUUUCUUCUUUCCAAGCCAAUGCGCUGCAAACCCCAUCUCUUCUCUUCUCUUCUUUUCUCUUAUCUUCUCCUUCAAACUCCCACAAAAAUCUUGUUGUCUUGCUUCCAUUGUUGCCUAGCUAGCUCCCUCGUCGGAUUUUUAAAUGUUUCAUAUCCUAAAUCUAUACCUGUUUUGUGCAAAUAUGAAUGAUCCUCUUUGUAUUCUUCCACAGCUUUCUUGAACUGCAUCUACUAUGAACUUGAUGAUUGUUGCAUGGCGGAUUCUUGUUUUUGUUUUGUUGCGGUUCAAUAAAGCUGUGGGAAGAUACUGAUAGGGUCAAGAAAGAAAGCUUUGCUACUUGUCGUCCGAUUCCAUGUCCUGUGUUCUUGGUAUUACUUUGAUUUAAUCCUCUUUACAUUGAUUGUUAGAUUUCUUAUAAUUUUAUCUUCAUGACUUAAUUAAUUGUGAUUUGUUUGGUUUCUUGGAUCUGUUGAUUUUUACUUUUCUUCACUGAUUCUUAAUCAUGAGAUUCUGCUGGCAUCGAAUUUGAAUAUGAACAUGAUUAUUCCUGAUUCUCUUUCUUCUUCUUCUCUAUUAAUGAGUUUCUUUCUUUUGCAUAUCUCCAUAUAUAGAAUGUACUCCCUUCCAAAGAAAUUUAUACAUAAAAAGAAAAAAUCAGUCUCUGAGUUUUUCCUUUUUCCUUUGUUGCAGUUCAUUUCACUUCUGCUUUCUUUAACAAGCAGCUUUUUGUAGACAAGAUUUAUGGUGGCCCAUGUGGUGAAAGUUCCAACUUCUAAUUGAGUUUAUAUAUAAUUAUUACAGGGCUUCUGAUCUGCAUCCAUACCUUGUCGGUUGAUACGAUAACAGUUAAUUUUUCCAUAAUUUUCAUACAACCAUGGAUUUGAUACAUACGAUCUGUUAGCUGCCUUGCUUUUCCUUGUAGUGUCAGUGAAUAAAUCUUGAUAAAAAUUGUCAAAUUAAUUAGGCUUAGAGAGCAGUCAUGGUAUUUCUAACUACAAUCUACAUGGACCACAACCUAAUUCAUGUUUCCAAUUAGUUAGGUAAACCUUCAAUCGGACAAGAAUAAACAUAAAACAAAUGCUACAAAUAUAUUAUAUAUUUCCAAUUUUUUAAAAGAAAUUAGCUGUAAAUAGAGCAACUUGGACAAAAAUAAUGCAUGAGGAAGCUUUCAGAAGGAAAUUUAGGGUCAUUUUGCCCUUUAAAAACAAAGGGAAAGGACAAGUAGCUAAAAAAAAAAAAGACAUUGUCUUGUCUUAUUACUGCUGACAUAUUUUAAAAUCACUACAAGAAUAGUUAUAUUUUUACCUUUUUACAGCAAAUGAUUUCAUGGUUUUCUUGCCUAGCUUCUCCUUGGAUGUAAAUAUAGUAGAAACAAUACAACUUUUCUUCUGUGCUCUAGUUGUAGUGGUGGACAUUGCAUGACCAAACUAUAAGGAUCCCUAAUAGUUGGACUGAAAAAAAAUAAUAAUGUAAUAAUAAUAAUAAUAAAGAAACUAUUAGCUGGAUUUUCAGACACGAUGGUUGUCCUAAAUUCAUCCCAUUAAUAGGCCACCUCUUCUUUUUCUCUUUUAUACAGAUAACUAUUAUUGCACUGCUCUUAUAUUAAUUUCUUUAAGUUAGCCAACUAAUGUGUUAAUUUAUAAGCCGCCGAUCUUUUGUUCUUCUUUAUGAUUCUGCUUUAGUGUUUUCGUUUGCUUCUUGAAUGUAUAGUAUUUAAUUGACAUGGUUGCCUUCACUUUAGACAGCACAGUUUAUGGAAAACCAAUGUGGGAUCAGAAAAGUGUUCAUGUAUAAUUAAGAUUAAAAUGAAUUGAUGUAUUUCUUACACGUUCAUCCAAGUCAAAAGGUGGGAUUAGUUUGUCUGCUUACAUAUAUGUGUGUGUUUGUCAGGCUUCCUUUGGAGGAGAAAGACAUUAGGGUUAGGAAAAGGUUAAAUUUUCUUGUGCUUUGUGAAAGAAAUAAGAAUUAAAUAAAAUAGAUAAAUUAUGAAAUUGGACCUGAUAUACCACAUGUACGUACCUUUUUCACUCACAAAAAUUUAUUUUUUUUUUUUGAAUUUUUUGAAUUAUGGAUGAUGAAAUCCAUAAUAGGAAAGUCCAUUAUGAAUAGGGAAGUACAUAAUUCUGUGAUAUAUAAAAUAAUUUUUCGAAUAUAAUAAAUAUGAUUUAGGACAGU